GAUGAACGCUGGCGGCGUGCUUAACACAUGCAAGUCGAACGAGAAGUGAAGACGGAAACCUUCGGGCGGAAGGCUUUAUUUCGAGUGGCGGACGGGUGAGUAACGCGUGGGUAACCUGCCUCAUACAGGGGGAUAACAGUUGGAAACGACUGUUAAUACCGCAUAAGACCACAGCACCGCAUGGUGCGGGGGUAAAAACUCCGGUGGUAUGAGAUGGACCCGCGUUCGAUUAGCCAGUUGGCGGGGUAACGGCCCACCAAAGCGACGAUCGAUAGCCGAUCUGAGAGGAGGACCGGCCACAGUGGGAAUGAGACCCGGCCCCAAAUCCUACGGGAGGCAGCAGUGGGGAAUAUUGCACAAUGGGGGAAACCCUGAUGCAGCGACGCCGCGUGAGUGAAGAAGUAUUUCGGUAUGUAAAGCUCUAUCAGCAGGGAAGAAAAUGACGGUACCUGAGUAAGAAGCCCCGGCUAACUACGUG
rnacentral:rRNA from 1 species